GACGUGGACGUUGAUGGAUGACGUUGACGGACUGUUGUACCGCCCAUCUACCUGGGAUUUUGCUGUUUAUUUUCACCUGGUUGAGUGCAUGAAGAGAGCCCCAAGGAAUUCUUAUAGGCUGAGCAGCUGCAGUUGCUCUUUUCCUAAGUUCCAAUGGAUGCAGGCAACAAUUGUGUUCCAGUCAACAAAUUGAAUAUCGAAAUUCCUUUGGCAGAAGAAAUUGCAUUUAGCAAAAAUGUUUAUACUACUUUUAUUUGGGUUGCAGAUCAUUUUAGCGGCAAUUUCAUCACGAAAGUCCCUUAGUCCCGCACGAAUAAAACAGUAACACAAACAUCGGAGCUCCUCGCUCUUUCAAAGAAAAAACCAAAAAUUUAGUCAUACUAUUUGAAUAAACUUGACAAACGAGGCAAGAGGAAGACGCUUUAGAAUGAGAUUAUUUCCCCAAAUUCCCGCAAAGUGGCCAUCCGGUUGUGCUGCUACAGAAGGCGGUGAGGCUGGUUGUCGUCGUAGUUGUCGUGUAACUCGUGACAGUCGACUGGGCAAAAGACAACAGGAAACGGACAGGACCUCCGUCUGGCGCCGCAAAACCAGAUUCGAUCACCAAAGGGACUGUCACCGACGAUUUGUCGGCCGGCACCUCCACAACUUCCGCAACUGGAUCAGUUGAAGACCUUCAGAGACAAUGCCAGGACAUAACGGUCAAUCUAAAAAAGAAAAAAAUGAAGAGCAAUCAUUUUACUUACGUUUUCUCGGAAGGAAGGAAGACACUGCUGUCCUUGUUCUCAACUUCCUCGUCGUUGUAAAACAGCCCACGUCGUUGACGGCCCAGGACUGACUGGACUUCUUCGUAGAAAAGACCACGACGACGGCGGCCGAUGGUGCAGGUAGUUAGGGCCGCAGUUGAGGUGGUACAGGUGGUGCUAGUCGAAAUGGUUGAAGUCGUCGUAGUAGUUGCAACCCACAAGAAUCGCAUCGGUUCGUUUUUAAGGUCAACUGCUGACGUGGCAUAAACAGAGUUAACGAUGGCCACCAAACAAACGAUUUCCCAACGCAUUUUUGGAAUAUAUUUUGAAAGGUUUACUUUUCAAAGAUGGGAGAAAAUAACGUUGACAGUGCGCUGAAAUUGUUUUGGCGUUUAAAGCUGGCUAUUUAUAGCAAGUUUGCAUCUAAGGUUGUCUUUUUUUGAAGAACUAUUUCGAGCACUCCGAUUGGCUAAUGUGUAAUUAUUUUUUUCAAUUUGUGAAUGUUCACACAUGCAAUCUUGGAAGCAAAAACAUACAGGUUCACCUUCCUCUUUACUAAGUGUAUAUUCAAGACAUUUAGGUUUUCGUAGUUUAAGCUAUGCAAAUGCUAAGAAGCGUUUUCAGCUAUCGAACAAGACGCUGCAAGGUAACCCACCAAGUGGUUAAAAAUAGGUAGCAUCGCCCAGAAGGUAGAAUCGAACUACUCUGACGCUAGUCAGCUACAGGUAACUUCCAUCUCAUUUGAAGCCUGCACCCCGGACCACCGAAGAUCAUCUAGGCAUUAGACUAGUGUGCAGGUCAAGCUUUAUAUACCAUUUAAAAAUAAGGUAAUUUAGCGUUUGCGAAGUUUCAAAGCCAGUUUACAUCGUGUGAAUUAAAACAAGCUGAAAACUUAAAAAUUGAUCUUUUGUUCCAGUAGUUUAUAGCUCAAGGAAUAGAGUUCAUGUAUCGGAAAUUCAAAUUAAGCCACACUAGUUCAGUAAGAACGUGUUUUAUAUGAAUUUCACUGCUUUUUGCUGGCCUAGCGCCCUGCAUUUCCAGUCCUUUUCGAACUCCAAGAUUGCCAAACGGACGCAAUGUCCGUCUAACACUUUAAGUAUCCAUUCUUAUGGGCGGUAAAACAAAGAAAAAAUUCACGUGACUUCAAAUUUCAUACAUUUUUCGCAAUGUAUGCAAUUGGAUCUACGUUCUUUACAGUCUUGAAUCGUUGCGUAAUACAUCACGCGCGGGAAUUUUCAAAUAUACUUUGUUAAUUUCCCGUUUUCGACACAUUUAUUUAUUUAUUUUUUUUCAAAUUAGAUUUGAACGCAUUUCCUUACUGCGUCUUUCGUGUGUCUUAGGAAGGACUUUUACUUCUAGUUUCGCUGCGGUGUCGUCUUGAUGUCAUUCCGUCUUCGAUCUCGUGGUUCUCGUGACGCAGUGUGACGCAUACGGGACGGCGCGUGCCAGGAAUGAAAUAACAAAUCGAUAGUUUACUUGGCCUCGGCAACUGGCUUUUACCAACAGGAGUACACGAACAAGUAGGUAAGUCAGAAUUGCCCUGAUUAACUGCAAUUCAACGUAACAUUUAUUUGCUAAUCUUAUCUGAUUUAUGAGUGAAAAUGGCUGGCUACGGAGGGAGUGAGAACCCAGAUUACUUCAAAGAAUGAGGUCUAUAUUUGCAAUGCUGUACAAGACAGUCGGCUGUUUCACGACCCAUCACUAAAAUCAACCCCAAAACAAAAAUUUGAUUCAAUCCACAAGUGGCAGACGAAAAACAAAAAAAAAAGUAUUGAUACGUUGCCCAGCUGCAAGAUUACGUGGCGGUUGGCCAGCCAAAAGUUUUCAAGUUGACAAAGCGGAAAGAAGUAAACAAUCCGACCACAACAGUUAUCAAUGGCAUCCGGGAAUAGUUUGCUGGCAGAGGGAAGACAAGCAUCACAUCUCCGCACAAUCCAUUACCCGCACCGAUGAAGACACUGGACCUAAGAAGUCACUCGUCAAAUGCGCUGAUUUUCCAAAUUUAGCAGACAAAACUGUUUGCAGGGUUGAUAAUCAAUGAUAGCAUAAAAAACAUUGGAGUAAUUGAAAAGGUCAUCAUAAAGUUGGGUGUGGCUUCCGUUCUCUGUGACAUUUAUCCUCUUCACAAUUUCGUCAUAACUUUGACGUGGUCGGUUUCUUGUGCAAUGUCUCUUAAAUUAUAGCUACUACUUAAAAACAAGUUUUCUUUUACGGUUAGUGUAAAUUCACGUCGGCUUCUCGGAUGACUGGAACUGCCAGAGGAUAAUGACGUACGUCAUCGUGGUGCCAAUCAACUAAAUGUAAACGCUUGCAUUCAAUUUUAAUAAAAUUCACAAAAAGAUGCAUUAUAAACGAUACCUUUGGAAAUAACCGUGGAGUGAUAUCAAAUAAUCCUGCAGCCGUUACCUCAACAUUGGAUUGCGAUACAUCCCAUUUUAAAAAUUCCAGCUGAAAUUGCAAAGGAAACAAUGAACUUAGCAGAAUUUGCGUAGAAAAGCAGUCGAUCCAGACCUCUUCCUGGCGACUAGAGCUGUUCCGGUCAGCGAUUUCAAUCCGUCCAAGGGCGAGCUGUAUCUUUUCGUGCUAAUUCAGAAUGAAUGUAGCACAGGGCCCACCACAUCCAACGUGUCCAACAUAAAUUACCUGAAUUUUAAUGGUAUGUGGGAUGUAGGUGAUGGCGCCAAGAUUUAUGAUGUGUUGAAUUAGUAGAACCAGGUCGCGAAUGUAGAGCCAAGGCACGGCAACCCAGUCGUAGUGCUGGAACUCGACGGCAGCCACGAAACAGACCAUAACGACGCUGGCCAUCAUGUAGCUGGCAGAUUUGACGAUAGCGCUUCUUCAACGCUUUCAAACAUAUCAAAUCUGGACGCUCUCUUUUUUCGUCAAGUUCUUCGAGAAUCAGGUGAAGCAAAUCCGAAGCGAUCCACCCGCACAAACAGAAAAGGAUCAUUCCACUGACUGGGUAAAUUUUCGAGGCGCACGAGAAAAAUUCUACAAAUUGUUGGUACUGUGGUAACCCCACGAUGUCGAGAGGCACGACAAGUACAAUCAUUAUCACUUCCUUUAUUAUUAAAUAUAAAUAUUAAAAUUUAUUAAUAGUAUUAAAUAAAUUUUUUAACCAAUUGA